rnacentral:rRNA from 1 species
AGUGAACGCUGGCGGUAGGCCUAACACAUGCAAGUCGAACGGCAGCACAGGAGAGCUUGCUCUCUGGGUGGCGAGUGGCGGACGGGUGAGGAAUACAUCGGAAUCUACCUUUUCGUGGGGGAUAACGUAGGGAAACUUACGCUAAUACCGCAUACGACCUACGGGUGAAAGUGGGGGACCGCAAGGCCUCACGCGAUUAGAUGAGCCGAUGUCCGAUUAGCUAGUUGGCGGGGUAAUGGCCCACCAAGGCGACGAUCGGUAGCUGGUCUGAGAGGAUGAGCAGCCACACUGGAACUGAGACACGGUCCAGACUGCUACGGGAGGCAGCAGUGGGGAAUAUUGGACAAUGGGCGCAAGCCUGAUCCAGCCAUACCGCGUGGGUGAAGAAGGCCUUCGGGUUGUAAAGCCCUUUUGUUGGGAAAGAAAUCCUGUCGAUUAAUACUCGAUGGGGAUGACGGUACCCAAAGAAUAAGCACCGGCUAACUUCGUGCCAGCCGCCGCAGUAACAC